AGUGAACGCUGGCGGUAGGCCUAACACAUGCAAGUCGAACGGCAGCACAGUAAGAGCUUGCUCUUACGGGUGGCGAGUGGCGGACGGGUGAGGAAUACAUCGGAAUCUACUUUUUCGUGGGGGGUAACGUAGGGAAACUUACGCUAAUACCGCAUACGACCUACGGGUGAAAGCAGGGGAUCUUCGGACCUUGCGCGAUUGAAUGAGCCGAUGUCGGAUUAGCUAGUUGGCGGGGUAAAGGCCCACCAAGGCGACGAUCCGUAGCUGGUCUGAGAGGAUGAUCAGCCACACUGGAACUGAGACACGGUCCAGACUCCUACGGGAGGCAGCAGUGGGGAAUAUUGGACAAUGGGCGCAAGCCUGAUCCGGCCAUACCGCGUGGGUGAAGAAGGCCUUCGGGUUGUAAAGCCCUUUUGUUGGGAAAGAAAAGCAGCAGGUUAAUACCCCGCUGUUCUGACGGUACCCAAAGAAUAAGCACCGGCUAACUUCGUG
rnacentral:rRNA from 1 species